rnacentral:misc_RNA from 1 species
UAAAGGGAUGUGAGGGUCUAAGUGUUAUUGGAUUCUAAAGCAUCCAAUUCAGCCUUCAUAGCAUGUUGCUAAUUUGGAUCACUAGCUGCAUCUACAAAAGUAGAUGGUUCCACAUCCCUACUAAUAUUGGAAAUGAAGGAAAAAUGUGAUAGUGUGUAUUGUUUGUAUGAAACAAAAUUAUAGUGGGAUAUUUUAUACCUUUAUCAGACUGAAUAGCAAAGAAGACAUCCAAUUGGUAGAGGGUAGUUUAGCUAGAGAACAAACAAAGUCUUUAAGGCAGACUGAUG